rnacentral:rRNA from 1 species
CAGCCGCCGCGGGAAUACAGAGGGUGCGAGCGUUAAUCGGAUUUACUGGGCGUAAAGCGUGCGUAGGCGGCUUUUUAAGUCGGAUGUGAAAUCCCUGAGCUUAACUUAGGAAUUGCAUUCGAUACUGGGAAGCUAGAGUAUGGGAGAGGAUGGUAGAAUUCCAGGUGUAGCGGUGAAAUGCGUAGAGAUCUGGAGGAAUACCGGUGGCGAAGGCGGCCCCCUGGACAAAGACUGACGCUCAGGUGCGAAAGCGUGGGGAGCAAACAGGAUUAGAUACCCCCGUAGUCCCUGUCUCUUAUAC